CUGUUUGUCAGGGUUUAGUUUGGGGUUAUGUUGUUCAGGGCUGAGGUGGCUUCCCCUCUUUUGUUACUUUUUGCCGGCUCACCAGUUCAUUAGUUAGGGGUAAAACUUUAGGGGCUAGUUUGGGGUUUUUACUUAACUUAGCUCUUUUGUUAUUUAUUGGUCUAUUUCUGUGUUGCUCCUAAAAUAAAAACUUGUAUAUCUUUUGA